CUAAAGCCUUCAUUCAAAUGGCUAUUGAGCUUGGGCAUUCAUGUAAGGGCUGGGGUGGAUUUUACACAGGUAGCUACAACAGAAAGGCCAGCCUGAACUCCAGCCACAGCAUAUGGGCUGUGUUUAUUUGGUGGGAGUUCUCUUGGGACCUGCAGUUUUUGAAGCUUGUGUACCAAGACUUCACGUGGAGACUUACUGGCCCACCUGUAAGAGGAAAGAAAUGGACUUGAGGUAGGCAAGCUGUGGAAAGGGGAACAGGAGACUCCAAGACCAGAAUAGGAAAUGGCAAAGGAAAUCAGCCUUCCCCUUUUGGAACAUUUCAAUGGGAUUCAACCAUCUUGAAUGUAUUUUUGACAAUUCUUUCCAUUUAGGUAUGUAUGUAUCUGUGCAUAC